AUCGACAGUUACCGGGGCUAAGACAAAUAUGAGACGCAUGUAAAUGGGUUUAUCAGCUGGAGGGACCAGAGGUGUAUGUGUGUGUGAUGACGACAUGGAAACUCGAUAGUGGGUUUAUCAGCUGGAGGGACCAGAGGUGUAUGUGUGUGUGAUGAAGACAUGGAAACUCGAUAGUGUGGGUUUAUCAGCUGGAGGGACCAGAGGUGUAUGUGUGUGUGAUGACGACAUGGAAACUCGAUAGUGGGUUUAUCAGCUGGAGGGACCAGAGGUGUAUGUGUGUGUGAUGAAGACAUGGAAACUCGAUAGUGUGUGUUUAUCAGCUGGAGGGACCAGAGGUGUAUGUGUGUGUGAUGAAGACAUGGAAACUCGAUAGUGUGGGUUUAUCAGCUGGAGGGACCAGAGGUGUAUGUGUGUGUGAUGAAGACAUGGAAACUCGAUAGUGUGGGUUUAUCAGCUGGAGGGACCAGAGGUGUAUGUGUGUGUGAUGAAGACAUGGAAACUCGAUAGUGUGGGUUUAUCAGCUGGAGGGACCAGAGGUGUAUGUGUGUGUGAUGAAGACAUGGAAACUCGAUAGUGUGGGUUUAUCAGCUGGAGGGACCAGAGGUGUAUGUGUGUGUGAUGAAGACAUGGAAACUCGAUGGUGUGACAUGUUUGAUUUAUGCAGACUUGGUCACAGGCUUGUGGUUUCAGACCUUUGCUCAGGUGUCUUGUAUGCUGGAAUAGACUCUCUGACUUGUAGUGAAAUGGAAAUAGUUGCUGGUAGUCACACCUCUCUCAGUUCCAGCUCUGAGAAUUCAUCACAGUAUGAUAAAAUUAUCUGACAAGUUAUGUCAGGGUUCAUCACAACUUAUUUUAGCUUCACGUCAGUUUGGCCUGCUUUAUGUCAGUUUGGCCUGCUUUAUGUCCGUUUGGCCUGCUUCACGUCCGUUUGGCCUGCUUUAUGUCCGUUUGGCCUGCUUCACGUCCGUUUGGCCUGCUUUAUGUCAGUUUGGCCUGCUUUAUGUCCGUUUGGCCUGCUUGAAGUACAAUCCCCGCUAGUAUGUAGUACAUCCACAGGAGACCCCAAUACAUUUGUAAUUAUCACUACUACUGAUGAACUGCUAGCACGUAUAACACCGGCUCAGCUGAGUGCAGUAGUAGCAUAGUUAAGCUGUGGAAAAGUGUGUAGUCUCCUGUCUUAUAGAUAUUGCAGCUCAUAACAGAAGAAUUACAUGGUUUCUGCUUGUAGUUUCCGCUCGUAGUUUUGAUUAUCUAGAUGUUACUGUGUAUGUGUGUAUCCACUGAAUGCUGAGGCCUUUGCAAUACACUUACCACCAGUGACAGUCAAAGGAGGCGUGUUAAAAAAUGUCUUUGUGACUGAUGUAGAGAGAAAAGGAUGAAAAAGGUUCCAUGCCUUUUGCUAGCUGGAUUUCUGACUCUUCAAAAUAGCAGUGUUUUGUUUUCCCUGGGGAAGAGCGCUGAAAUAAAAUCAAACUUGUCUGUGUGUGUGGGUGUGAAUAUUCCCCUUGGAAUGGAAGGCUGAGUUUGUCUGGGAGAUGCAGGGUGGAGGGGCGGGCACCGGAGGCUCCGGUUGCCUGGAUGUAUGUGACACGUUUCCUAAUGUCCAGGGUCUUAAUAAGCCAGUGCCCAGAGGGACUGGAAAAAACAAGGCAUCUACUAUUCCUGUAGAAAAUGAGAUAUAUUUUUACAUGUAGCUACCAACAAUCCCUGUAGAGAUGAUUUUAACAUAGUUUGUGAGAAAUGCAAGUUGUCUUAAUCAAUUAAAUAGAUUAUAAUCCUUAACACUCCCUCUGUUCAUCAGAGGUGUACCAUGCUAAAGCUACUAGGCUUUGUGUGUGUGCGUGUGUGUGUGUGUGUGUGUGUGUGUGUGUGUGUGUGUGUGUGUGUGUGUGUGUGUGUGUGUGUGUGUGUGUGUGUGUGUGUGUGUGCGUGCGUGCGUGCGUGCGUGUGUGUGGAGGUGUUGUCAUAACGCCAGCAGCAGUUAUGUUAUUUGGCAUACAGGUAGUCGUCAGAUUUCUUUAAUUCGUAUUGAAAAAUUGACAAAUGAGUUAUGACACCAGAGCUGUUUCUCUUGGGAGAGAAGAGGAGAGACUGAUCGAGUACUAGCGAAAGCGAGAGAGAUGGAAAGAAGUUUCUCUUUUUUUCUGGGAACAUCUUAGGUUUCGACUUGCGAGGUCGAGCAAGAUGGUAAUGGCUGUCGUUUGCCUCACUGUAAAGAGAGAAAGAGAGAAAAUAAGUCUUACAUUUUCUCCACAAUUCCAUCCUCUCACCUUCCUUAUUUCUUUUUUUUAGGGCAGUUUAGAUACUCGGAUGUU